AGGGAGCUUGUCAAGCAAGGAAGGAGUAUUGAGGAUUUGUGCUGGUUAAGAAAAGGACUCUAAUUUAAGGUCUAGAGAAAAUGGUGGAACAAAGGCUAGUAAAGUCUAGAUUAUUUACCCAAAUUUGGGCAUUUAGGCCUGUGGAUUAGGGUAAGACCCUAUGUCUCACAGAUAAAAUGGGCUGGGGGUGAUGAAAGGACUGUGGGGGUAUGAUGCAAACCAAGGGGAACUCUUUGGUGGCAUACGCAGGAUAACAGCAGACCUUAUCCUAUGGAAGGGGGAAGAGCCAGGAAUAAAAGGGGGUGCUCAUAUUGGUGCUGAUUAGGUCCUUACACCAAUGAUGGAGGCUUUACAAUCUCUCAAGAUGGACAUGCUAUUGCUGGUCUUUUUCAAGGCCAUGAAAACAGAUUCACUGAUUCUACUGACAUCCCCAUCAUGUUAGGAGAUUAAAGAAAACUCUGUAUCAAGCGUGGAACUUCAUCUCCCUGGGUUCUGCAUUUUUCUCCAUCCUGACUCCUCCCAGUGUAACAUCUGCUACAAAUUUCAUUGCUGUGCUGUUUGCUGCUGCUUCCAGCAGCAAGUAAAGACCUCACCUACAAUAGGGUCACCAUUGUGCUUAGUCACCCCAUAUGAGAAGAAUGCCUUGAAGAGCUUUGACACAAAAAAAGGCAAGACAAAUAGGUAUGGACUAAUAGCAAGUAAACGAUCUGUCAAAGAUGUAGGACUUACACCUUUGAAUUUCU